rnacentral:lncRNA from 1 species
CAAAAAAGUAUUUUAGCAAACAAACAAUGCCGGUCACUGGUGUAAGUGAUUAUCUCCAAUUCAUGUGCAAAUGGUGACAGCAGAUAAAGGGCCAAUAGGGCAUCCCCGGCAGAAGAACAGAACACUUGUAGGAAGGAGGAAUAUUGCUGCCCAUACACUUGCCAAUAAUGACUGCACUACAGAAUGCAGCAAGGAACAAAACACAGAAUCUCCAUGAGAGGCCAAGAGAGGGUGUGCUGCACAGUAUGAUGUUCUUGCUACGAGUAAAAUCUGAUCAAAAAUAAAUAAAUAAAAUAUCAGCCUAAGGAGCUCCCUAAACCAUCCAGUAGCAGAUUGGAGCAGUGUACCCAACAGAUCCAUGAACUGGUUGGUUUUUGGCAGAAAGAGAUGGAGAUGACAAAACCUUUGGAAGUAAAGAAUGUGUCCAGCUGUGUAUUACUGAACUUCCCUACAAGACCCAAACCUGACUGGCUUGUUCUGCUGUGUACCAAUACCUGCAGCAGCUCUUGCUUGUGAGGCAUUGAGAAUCACAGUGCAUCAUCCAAAAAUUCAGAGUUGAAUAUAAACAGAGAUAUUACUGCUUUGAGAUGCAUACAGCUCAGCAAGGUGGAUUCUUAUAAGACCAGACAACAUGGGCUUGCCCAAGCUGAGCACAAGAGCACCUUCCUGGGAAUGAACACGCUUGCAGAAAGCCUGAUGCCAGAGGUAUCCCAAGCUGUACAAGAAAAAUUGAUCUGAGCUGCUGACUUCAGACUCAUUCCAGACUAUAUCUGAGUCCAGACUGACAUGCAAAAAAGGAG